rnacentral:rRNA from 1 species
UUAAGCGACUAAGCGUACACGGUGGAUGCCCUGGCAGUCAGAGGCGAUGAAGGACGUGCUAAUCUGCGAAAAGCGUCGGUAAGGUGAUAUGAACCGUUAUAACCGGCGAUGUCCGAAUGGGGAAACCCAGUGCAAUUCGUUGCACUAUCGUUAACUGAAUACAUAGGUUAACGAGGCGAACCGGGGGAACUGAAACAUCUAAGUACCCCGAGGAAAAGAAAUCAACCGAGAUUCCCCCAGUAGCGGCGAGCGAACGGGGAGCAGCCCAGAGUCUGAAUCAGCUUGUGUGUUAGUGGAACGGUCUGGAAAGUCCGACGGUACAGGGUGAUAGUCCCGUACACCAAAAUGCACAGGUUGUGAACUCGAAGAGUAGGGCGGGACACGUGGUAUCCUGUCUGAAUAUGGGGGGACCAUCCUCCAAGGCUAAAUACUCCUGACUGACCGAUAGUGAACCAGUACCGUGAGGGAAAGGCGAAAAGAACCCCGGCGAGGGGAGUGAAAAAGAACCUGAAACCGUGUACGUACAAGCAGUGGGAGCACCUUCGGGUGUGACUGCGUACCUUUUGUAUAAUGGGUCAGCGACUUAUAUUCUGUAGCAAGGUUAACCGUAUAGGGGAGCCGCAGGGAAACCGAGUCUUAACUGGGCGUUAAGUUGCAGGGUAUAGACCCGAAACCCGGUGAUCUAGCCAUGGGCAGGUUGAAGGUUGGGUAACACUAACUGGAGGACCGAACCGACUAAUGUUGAAAAAUUAGCGGAUGACUUGUGGCUGGGGGUGAAAGGCCAAUCAAACCGGGAGAUAGCUGGUUCUCCCCGAAAGCUAUUUAGGUAGCGCCUCGUGAACUCAUCUUCGGGGGUAGAGCACUGUUUCGGCUAGGGGGUCAUCCCGACUUACCAACCCGAUGCAAACUACGAAUACCGAAGAAUGUUAUCACGGGAGACACACGGCGGGUGCUAACGUCCGUCGUGAAGAGGGAAACAACCCAGACCGCCAGCUAAGGUCCCAAAGUCAUGGUUAAGUGGGAAACGAUGUGGGAAGGCACAGACAGCCAGGAUGUUGGCUUAGAAGCAGCCAUCAUUUAAAGAAAGCGUAAUAGCUCACUGGUCGAGUCGGCCUGCGCGGAAGAUGUAACGGGGCUAAACCAUGCACCGAAGCUGCGGCAGCGACACUAUGUGUUGUUGGGUAGGGGAGCGUUCUGUAAGCCUGCGAAGGUGUGCUGUGAGGCAUGCUGGAGGUAUCAGAAGUGCGAAUGCUGACAUAAGUAACGAUAAAGCGGGUGAAAAGCCCGCUCGCCGGAAGACCAAGGGUUCCUGUCCAACGUUAAUCGGGGCAGGGUGAGUCGACCCCUAAGGCGAGGCCGAAAGGCGUAGUCGAUGGGAAACAGGUUAAUAUUCCUGUACUUGGUGUUACUGCGAAGGGGGGACGGAGAAGGCUAUGUUAGCCGGGCGACGGUUGUCCCGGUUUAAGCAUGUAGGCUGGUUGUCCAGGCAAAUCCGGAUAAUCAAGGCUGAGGUGUGAUGACGAGGCACUACGGUGCUGAAGUAACAAAUGCCCUGCUUCCAGGAAAAGCCUCUAAGCAUCAGGUAACAUUAAAUCGUACCCCAAACCGACACAGGUGGUCAGGUAGAGAAUACCAAGGCGCUUGAGAGAACUCGGGUGAAGGAACUAGGCAAAAUGGUGCCGUAACUUCGGGAGAAGGCACGCUGGUGUGUAGGUGAAGCCCCUGCGGGUGGAGCUGAGACCAGUCGAAGAUACCAGCUGGCUGCAACUGUUUAUUAAAAACACAGCACUGUGCAAACACGAAAGUGGACGUAUACGGUGUGACGCCUGCCCGGUGCCGGAAGGUUAAUUGAUGGGGUUAUCCGUAAGGAGAAGCUCUUGAUCGAAGCCCCGGUAAACGGCGGCCGUAACUAUAACGGUCCUAAGGUAGCGAAAUUCCUUGUCGGGUAAGUUCCGACCUGCACGAAUGGCGUAAUGAUGGCCAGGCUGUCUCCACCCGAGACUCAGUGAAAUUGAACUCGCUGUGAAGAUGCAGUGUACCCGCGGCAAGACGGAAAGACCCCGUGAACCUUUACUAUAGCUUGACACUGAACAUUGAGCCUUGAUGUGUAGGAUAGGUGGGAGGCUUUGAAGCGUGGACGCCAGUCUGCGUGGAGCCAACCUUGAAAUACCACCCUUUAAUGUUUGAUGUUCUAACGUUGGCCCCUUACCGGGGUUGCGGACAGUGUCUGGUGGGUAGUUUGACUGGGGCGGUCUCCUCCCAAAGCGUAACGGAGGAGCACGAAGGUUAGCUAAUCCUGGUCGGACAUCAGGAGGUUAGUGCAAUGGCAUAAGCUAGCUUGACUGCGAGCGUGACGGCGCGAGCAGGUGCGAAAGCAGGUCAUAGUGAUCCGGUGGUUCUGAAUGGAAGGGCCAUCGCUCAACGGAUAAAAGGUACUCCGGGGAUAACAGGCUGAUACCGCCCAAGAGUUCAUAUCGACGGCGGUGUUUGGCACCUCGAUGUCGGCUCAUCACAUCCUGGGGCUGAAGUAGGUCCCAAGGGUAUGGCUGUUCGCCAUUUAAAGUGGUACGCGAGCUGGGUUUAGAACGUCGUGAGACAGUUCGGUCCCUAUCUGCCGUGGGCGCUGGAGAAUUGAGGGGGGCUGCUCCUAGUACGAGAGGACCGGAGUGGACGCAUCACUGGUGUUCGGGUUGUCAUGCCAAUGGCACUGCCCGGUAGCUAAAUGCGGAAGAGAUAAGUGCUGAAAGCAUCUAAGCACGAAACUUGCCCCGAGAUGAGUUCUCCCUGAGACUUUAAGUCUCCUGAAGGAACGUUGAAGACGACGACGUUGAUAGGCCGGGUGUGUAAGCGCAGCGAUGCGUUGAGCUAACCGGUACUAAUGAACCGUGAGGCUUAACCU